rnacentral:rRNA from 1 species
GUGCAGCAGUCGCGAAUCCUCCGCAAUGCGCGAAGCGCGACGGGGUUACCCCGAGUGCCGUCCGCUGAGGACGGCUUUGCCCAGUGUAGCCAGCUGGGCGAAUAAGGAGAGGGCAAGUCUGGUGUCAGCCGCCGCGGUAAUACCAGCUCUCCGAGUGGUGGGGACGCUUAUUGGGCCUAAAGCAUCCGUAGCCGGUCUGGCAAGUCCCUUGUUAAAUCCAACGAUUCAAUCGUUGGACUGCAAGGGAUACUGCCAGACGUAGGGGGCGGGAGAGGCCGACGGUAUUCCCGGGGUAGGGUGAAAUCCUAUAAUCCCGGGAGGACCACC